GCGGACAUGGCGGAAUUGGUAUACGCGCAACGUUGAGGUCGUUGUUCCCAAAAGGAGUGGAGGUUCAAGUCCUCUUGUCCGCACCA
rnacentral:tRNA from 1 species